GACGAACGCUGGCGCGCCUGCUAACGCAUGCAAGUCAAACGGAAAGGCCCUGCUUUUGUGGGGUGCACUAGUGGACAACGGUCGAAAAACACAAGGGUAACCUGACCUUGACUUUGCCACAACUUCACGAAACUGGGUCUAAUACCGGAUAGGAGCUCCUGCUGCAUGGUGGGGGUUGGAAAGUUACGACGGGUGGGGAUGGACUCUCCGCUUAUCAUCUUGCUGGUGGGGUAACGACUUACCCACGCUUUAACCGGUAGCCGGCCUGAAAGGGUGACCGGCCACAUUGGGACUGAGAUACCGUCCAGACUCCUACGGUAAGCAGCAGCGUGGAAUAUUGGACAAUGUGCGGAAACCUGAUGCACCAACGCCGCGUGCAUGAUGACGACCUUCAGAUUGGAAACCGCUUUCCCCUGUGACUAAACGUGAGUGACGGUAAUGAGCAAAGAAGCACCGGCUAACUACUUGCCAUCAGCCUCAGUGAUACGUACGGAGCCAGCGUUGUCAGGAUUUAUUGCGCGUACACCGCUCGUAAGUGGUUGAUCGCCUCCGAAGCGUAAUCUUGAUGCUUAACCCUGAGCACGCUUUCGAUACUGAAUGACUUGAGCAACGCACGCUAUAAUGCCUUUCCUGCUGGAACGGAGCAAAGCGCAGAUAUCACGACUGACACCACUCGCUAAUGCUGCUCUCUGGGCCUUACAUGACGCAGACCAACCAACUCGUGUGGAGCGAACGGUCUUAGAUACCCUGGAACCUCACGCUGUGAACCGUGGGCACUAAGUGUGGAGUCCAUCCACGCCUAUCCUCGCGUAGCUAACGCUUUAAGUACCGCGCCUGGGGAGUACGACCGCAAGGCUAAAACUCAAAGGAAUUGACGGGGCCCCGCACAAGCGGCGGAGCAUGCUGAUUAAUUCGAUCCACAGAGUAGAACGUUACGUGGGUUUGACAUGGAUCGGGAGUGGUCAGAGAUGGGUGUGCCUCUUCAGGGGUGGGGUCACAGGUGGUGCACGGCCGUCGUCAGCUCGUGUCGUGAGACGGUGGCAUAAGUCCCGCACCGAGCGCAACCUCUGGUUCACCGUCGUCACCACGUUAUGGUGGGGCCUCAGCGGAGACCGCCGGGGUCAACUCGGAGGAAGGAGGGGACGACGUCAAGUCAUCGUGCCCCUUAUGUCCAGGGCUUCACGCACGUUACAAUGGCUGGCACAGAGAGUGCCGAGCCUGUGAGGGUGAGAGAAUCUCGGAAACCCGGUCUCAGUUCGGAUUGGGCUCUGCAACUCGACCUCACGAAGUCGGAGUCGCUAGUAAUCGCAGAUCAGCAACGGUGCGGUGAAUCCGUUCCCGGGGCG
rnacentral:rRNA from 1 species